rnacentral:lncRNA from 1 species
AUGCCACUGAGAGAUGCAAGUCAGCAAGUGCCAGCCGAGAACAGGAAUGUCAGGCCCUGGGUGGAUGCUCCUCGCUGUCUGGGUGCCGCUUCUCUGCCUGGGCCCGAGCUGACAAUUUACUGGUUCAUCAAUGAAACAAUAUUACAUUAUGAAGAUGUAAGGAAAAAAUUCUACGCUAACAUUGUUGCAGUUUGAAAGGUAAGCUGUUCCCUAAAAAAUUAGGAGACGUGAAUGAUCCUUUAUAGCCACAGAACAUAAUGCCACAUGAUACACGCUAAAGAGUUAAGUGGCCUCUUCACAUCUUUGUCCCUGUGGUCCUGGCAAGGAUUUCAUUAGUAUGUGAAGAGUCACCCAUAUUUCCCUCAUUCUGUCUUUUAAAAUGCAAGAACAUUGUUUUCAAGCUUUUCACAGGUUUUAUUUUAUGGGAUAUUCAGACAAAUGAGACUUUAAGCAGUGCGUGUUGCAAUGAUAUCAUGGUUCUUUUUGAAAAGUUUUGCUGUGUUUCUGCUGAUUCCCUGUAUUGGCCAUUAAGCUGCAGCUGUCAGGGUCAGAUUAUUUCUUGCUUUUUCUGUUUUGGCGGUGCGUGAGAACUUCAAGUGUUAUCAUUCUCUUGGUCUUGUCCUGUACUUAAGAUAGGAAGCCUUCUCAAGUCUGCCUUCUGUGAACUCAGUAAAGUACUUGCAUGCUGUCAGGUACCAGUUGGAUGCCUAG